rnacentral:lncRNA from 1 species
GGGGGGGUUAUUUGGACAAAAAAUUGUGUGGAAUUUGAGAAUUUUUAAAGUUCAGAGAUUUUAAAAGUUGAGUAGAUUUAACAAAUAUUUUAUCAACUAUUUUGUAUGAAUUUCUGUUGAUUGUUAUAGAAUUUUAUAGAUUUGCAUACAUAUUUUUUUCAUAAGAAAUCUCCUCUUAAGAUAAUAUAUACAAGUCUUUUU